AUUUAUUGUGCAAAAAAGGAACGACCAACAUUUCGACCUAUUCAGGUCUUUCUCAAGAUCAGAUUUUGAGAGAGACCUGAAUAGGUCGAAACGUUGGUCGUUCCUUUUUUGCACAAUAAAU